CCCUUAGAUGUUCUGGGCCGCACGCGCGCUACACUGACGAAUGCAACGAGCUUAUAACCUUGGCCGAAAGGUCUGGGUAAUCUCCAAAUUUCGUCGUGAUGGGGAUAGAUUAUUGCAACUAUUAAUCUUCAACGAGGAAUACCUAGUAGGCGCAUGUCAUCAGCGUGCGUCGAUUACGUCCCUGCCCUUUGUACACACCGCCCGUCGCUCCUACCGAUUGAAUGAUCCGGUGAGGCCCCCGGACUGUGGCAACGGCUUUGGUUCGCCAAACUGAUGCCGCGGGAAGCUGUCCAAACCUUAUCAUUUAGAGGAAGGAGAAGUCGUAACA
rnacentral:rRNA from 1 species